AUGCCAUGAUGAGAUUUCUUUUGUAAAAACUCCUUGAACCACUCCCAUGCGUCAUAUAAAGAUUCUUUAUCAAGUUACAGAAAUGAAGUGAUUUCAUUUUGGAUCUU
rfam:Gossypium hirsutum cultivar TM-1 chromosome 1, whole genome shotgun sequence